CGCUUUCCGAACGGCUUCGGCAAACAGGUUGUACAACGGUUGCACUGAGACACCAGUUCCGGUCCAGCCGGAAGGCACACCACAGUUCCCAUCCUCGUCGUUUGCGUCUGUUUUUUCGUCUUCGUUUCCUAUUUACCAAUGGAAGCCUGUUCCAGGGAAGCUUCUUAAUCCGAUUGUCAAAGCCGGGGGAAGCACACAGGAAUCGUAUUAUGUUUAUUUCGUCCAAAAAGCGGCCAGACCAUCAUCAGCGCAGACUGGUGACGGGGAAAAAAUCCUCACCGGAAACCGGCUGCUGUUGGUUCUCUUUGUGUAGGAUACGGACUUUCCAUCCAGGCAGAGGAUUAUCUGGAAAAAUGUAUUCGGAAAAGAGUGAAAAAAAAUUGUCACACAAGAAGAGAUUUCAGUUGACAAAGGAUAUCAACGCGUGCACGUUGCGCCACGGGAAAUGUUUGCGUAAAGUAUUAAAUUUUCACUAGAAGAAUAACGGCUUUGAAUAUGGGUAGAGGAUUUGUUUAAUCAUUUAUCUCUCAGUCCUAUUUUUAUCCUAUUGAAACAUAAACGAAUAAAGCCUCGUUAUUCUCACAUAUUUUAUGGAAACAGCA